GACGAACGCUGGCGGCGUGCUUAACACAUGCAAGUCGAACGGAAAGGCCCUGCUUUUGUGGGGUGCUCGAGUGGCGAACGGGUGAGUAACAUGUGAGUAUCCCGCCCUUGACUUUGGGAUAUCUUCAGGAAAGUGGGGCUAAUACAGGAUAGGAGCGCCUGCAGCAUGGGGGGGGUUGGACAGUUUGGGCGGUUGGGGGUGGACGCGGGGCUUAUCAGCUUGUUGGGGGGGUAGUGGCUUAGCACGGCAUUGGCGGGUAGCCGGCCUGGGAGGGUGACCGGCCACAUGGGGCCUGCGGUACGGCCCAGUCUCCUACGGGAGGCAGCAGUGGGGAAUAUUGCACAAUGGGCGGACGCCUGAUGCAGCAGCGCCGCGUGCGGAAUGCCGGCCUUCGGGGUGUAAACCGCUUUCGCCUGUGACGAAGCGGGAGUGACGGUAAUGGGUAAAGAAGCACCGGCUAACUUCGUG
rnacentral:rRNA from 1 species